rnacentral:rRNA from 1 species
GAGUGAACGCUGGCGGCAUGCCUUACACAUGCAAGUCGAACGGCAGCACGGGGGCAACCCUCGGUGGCGAGUGGCGAACGGGUGAGUAAUACAUCGGAACGUGUCCUGUAGUGGGGGAUAGCCCGGCGAAAGCCGGAUUAAUACCGCAUACGCUCUACGGAGGAAAGGGGGGGAUCUUAGGACCUCUCGCUACAGGGGCGGCCGAUGGCAGAUUAGCUAGUUGGUGGGGUAAAGGCCUACCAAGGCGACGAUCUGUAGCUGGUCUGAGAGGACGACCAGCCACACUGGGACUGAGACACGGCCCAGACUCCUACGGGAGGCAGCAGUGGGGAAUUUUGGACAAUGGGCGCAAGCCUGAUCCAGCAAUGCCGCGUGUGUGAAGAAGGCCUUCGGGUUGUAAAGCACUUUUGUCCGGAAAGAAAUCCUUUGGCCUAAUACGUCGGGGGGAUGACGGUACCGGAAGAAUAAGCACCGGCUAACUACGUGCCAGCAGCCGCGGUAAUACGUAGGGUGCAAGCGUUAAUCCGGAAUUACUGGGCGUAAAGCGUGCGCAGGCGGUUCGCUAAGACAGAUGUGAAAUCCCCCGGGCUUAACCUGGGAACUGCAUUUGUGACUGGCGGGCUAGAGUAUGGCAGAGGGGGGUAGAUUCCACGUGUAGCAGUGAGAUGCGUAGAGAUGUGGAGGAGUACCGAUGGCGAAGGCAGUCCCCUGGGCCGGUACUGACGCUCAUGCACGAGGGCGUGAGAGCAACGGGAUUAGAUACCCUGGUAGUCCGCGCCCUAAACGAUUCGAACUGUUGUCGGGUCCCGUUGACUGGUAACGUAGCUAACGCGUGGGUUGCCGCCUGGAGUCGGUCGCAAGAUUA